rnacentral:rRNA from 1 species
GACGAACGCUGGCGGCGUGCUUAACACAUGCCAGUCGAACGGAAAGGCCCUGCUUUUGUGGGGUGCUCGAGUGGCGAACGGGUGAGUAACACGUGAGUAACCUGCCCUUGACUUUGGGAUAACUUCAGGAAACUGGGGCUAAUACCGGAUAGGAGCUCCUGCUGCAUGGUGGGGGUUGGAAAGUUUCGGCGGUUGGGGAUGGACUCGCGGCUUAUCAGCUUGUUGGUGGGGUAGUGGCUUACCAAGGCUUUGACGGGUAGCCGGCCUGAGAGGGUGACCGGCCACAUUGGGACUGAGAUACGGCCCAGACUCCUACGGGAGGCAGCAGUGGGGAAUAUUGUACAAUGGGCGGAAGCCUGAUGCAGCAACGCCGCGUGCGGGAUGACGGCCUUCGGGUUGUAAACCGCUUUCGCCUGUGACGAAGCGUGAGUGACGGUAAUGGGUAAAGAAGCACCGGCUAACUACGUG